rnacentral:rRNA from 1 species
CAAUAGCGUAUAUUAAAGUUGUUGCAGUUAAAAAGCUCGUAGUUGGAUCUGUGGUGUGCGGUGGGCUCCGGGCACUUGUUGUCUGAGCAGCUCGCCGCUGCCAUCCUUGGGUGGAACCUGUGUGGCAUUAGGUUGUCGUGCAGGGGAUGCCCAUCGUUUACUGUGAAAAAAUUAGAGUGUUCAAAGCAGGCUUAUGCCGUUGAAUAUAUUAGCAUGGAAUAAUGAGAUAGGACUUUUUCGCUAUUUUGUUGGUUUGCGCGAAGAGGUAAUGAUUAAUAGGGACAGUUGGGGGUAUUCGUAUUCCAUUGUCAGAGGUGAAAUUCUUGGAUUUUUGGAAGACGAGCUACUGCGAAAGCAUUUACCAAGGAUGUUUUCAUUAA